rnacentral:rRNA from 1 species
AUGGUGAGUGUUUCUACUGGCGUGAUGAACUCUUUGUUGGGUAAGUUGACAACCCUCAUGGGAAAGGAGUUUGCAAGGCUGAAGAACCUGCGAAAACAAGUGACGUCCAUUAGCGAUGAGCUUGCCUACAUGAAGGAUGCUCUUGAUGGGCUUUCAGAUCUUGAAGAGCUAGAUUCACAAACUAAGAGGUGGGGAGACUCGGUGAGGGAUAUGACCUAUGACAUCGAGGACAUCAUCGAUGACUUCAUGCAAAGCAUUGGUGAGAAUGAUAAAACUACUGGGCUUGUUAGCAAUGCUGUUCGACGCCUCAAAACUUUGAGGGCUCGUCAUCGGAUUGCUGGACAAAUUGAAGAGGUAAAAAAACUUGUGCUAGAGACAAGUGAACGUCACAGAAGGUAUACACUUCGUAUACCCCCAUCGAGUGAUGUUGGCAUUGAUCUACGAUCCACUGCACUCUAUACAGAAGCGGCUGACCUUGUGGGUAUAGAAGGACCAGCGAAUGAGCUUGUCAGUAUGUUAAUGGAUGAGGAGAAGAAGUUGAAGGCGGUAUCAAUUGUGGGAUUUGGAGGUCUGGGCAAAACGACACUUGCCAAUGAGGUAUACCGUAGGGUCAAGGGGGAAUUUGACACUCAUGCACUUGUGACAGUGUCUCAAAAGCCUAACAUUCCAAGACUUCUCCAUGAUUUACUAUCCAAACUUGGCACAGAGACAUCUAUUAACACUUGCGAGUCACUUCUUAUCGGCAUGCUCAGAGAACAUCUCCAAACUAAGAGAUUCCUGAUUAUUGUUGAAGUGUAUAUGUGGAUUGCCUAG